AAUACAAUAGUUUUGAAAUAUUUUUAUCUUGUUCUUUGUGGUGUGAUGUUUAUCUUCAAUUCCUUUAUUUAAUUUACAUUAUUAAUUAUGUUUUGUAUUUGACUGAAUGUUAACUUUUUGUUUGUCCGUUUUGUAUUGGUUUUCUGCCAUUUACCACUGUUACCUGCCCUUAGAACUGUAUUGUAUAAAUUCUAGGCUCCACGUAGAAUCCCUGACUUGAUGCUAAGCCAUAACUCAUCAUGGACAUUAAGUACUUUCUAUUCCUCAAUUCUUAAAGAAUUAAAAAUGUCAUUGUUGGGUAAUGAUCCUCAAGCCUUUUCUUUUGCAGACAUAUAAAGAAUGGAUUUUGAAGGCAAUAGAACAGACUUGGAAUCUUUUCCACAAAAAAUUUACUGCAUUAUGGGAUGAACACAGGAAUGGCUCUGGUGAGGCGUAUCUUCCAGAAAUUUAUAAUAACUCUGAACUUCAGCUUCUUACACAAAAGAAAUACAUGCAAGGUUUGUUGCAUGACACCCUCGGAUUUGGUGCUGCCAAAAUGAUAAGGUGAGGUUGUGAUUCAGUUUGUUAAUUAUAUUUUUUGUAUCAUUGCUUUCUUCUACUAUUGAUGCUUCUUUUCUAUUUCCUUGCAUCUUUAAAAACAUUUUAUGACAGUACAAAUGUAGAUAUCUUCUUAAGCUUUUUUUACUACAUUUUAUGGCAUUUUUCUUUGAAAUUUUAGAUUUGUAGAUUUAUUUUUAGUUUUAUUUUCAUUUUUUAGUUUUAGGCAUUUUAAAUGAUCCUUAAACCUUUGAAUGUCAAAUGGAAAUAUUGGUUUAAAUAUAUAAUUAUACCAAUUCAAGUACUUGAAACAUCGAUUUAUAUAAGUGGUAUCAUGAAGCCCUGUGUUACAUUCUUGUCAUAGACUUCAUACAAUUAUCUCUUUUUAAGACUUAUCGAUCUUUUGAUUCACAGGAGAAUUGUUGGUGUAGCACAUGUUGAGGAUUUUGAAUCAAUUGUUGAUGCUAGCAAGCGAGCUAACUGUGAGAGACAGGCACUUGUAUUUGCAAAGAUGCUUUUGAAGGAAAGGAGAAAAUUUCAGGCUAUCACUGAAGUUGUUUUAGCCGUUCAGCAAGAACAAUCAUGAGAAAAGUAUUAGGUAAAGUUGAAUGUUUGGUUAGGGCAUGCAGAAUUAGUUGGGGUGGGUGUUCUGAUAUGAUUUGGAUCCCAAAUUGCCAUUUGGAGCAAUGAUGAUACGAUAUUAUAUCUGGUUUAUACCAAUGAUCUGAAUUGCACUUCUUGCUGUAUUUGCUUCUGUUGUUUGCUACAAAUGAUUCUCAUAAGGUCCUGAUGAAAUUAUCAAUCCACAGAUUGAUACAUUUUAAAAAUUUUACCAAUAUUUUCUAUAUCUGAUCAGCUUUACUAUAUGCUUUUAUGAAUGCAAGUAAUUCUACAUCUUCAUAUGUGAUUAAAAAUAACCUCUUAUGCACCAUAUUAUUUACUAUAAUUCAGAAUUAACUUGGCUAUUUUCCAUGAAGUCUAGCAAUUUCAGAACAGAGUAUUUAAUCUUGGUGGUGGGGGGAGAACAGAGUAUUUAAUCUUGACGGGAUAUGCUUUUUAGCCCUUUGCUCAUUGCAUUUAUAUGUUUCCCCGCAAUGAGUUUGAACCCAAAAGCUUCUAAACCCACUUUUUUGUUUCAUAUGUAAGACUCCAUGCAUCAAAAAGUCAUUUGAAGUUCGAACAAAAAAUGAACCUGUAUGUCUUAGUUUCUCCUGACAGAGUGUCUUUCUGAUCUGUCACAGUAAUUUGAUCCAUUGAAUGGUGAUUGGAGUUUUUGAGACAGGGAUCGAAUACUAGAAUAUAUUGUUUGGCCUUGGAUUUACCCAAUAAUCAAUUCCUUACCUUUCCAACUGUGUCCCUACCUACCAAUCCAAAACAAACUAAUCUUGCUCCUAUAUAUAUAUAUUUAACAGGAAACUUUUUCUUUUUCUUUUUCUUUUUCCUUUUUGGUUGUCCCUGUUGAGACUCCAACCUUGAACAUCCCAUAUCCCCACACAAAUCCUUGCCACUUGGCCUCAAGGGCUAGUCUUGCUUAUAUUGAUACUAAUUAAACACUGAAAAGAUCCUAUCUUGAUUGGCUUUGAAGCUAUAUCAUUGAACCCAUAUUACAUUUUUAGCGUGAACAAUAUGAAUUCGUUUAGAUAUUGCAUGUUUCUUCAUCUUUGUUGAAACUAAUCUAUCCAGUGGGUGGUCCAUAUUGGUUUUCCAAGGUCUUCAAACAUUCAGAUUGAAACUAAUCUACCGGAAGAACUACUUAAGACUUUGAUCUAGUUAAUUUAUCGAUGUCAGUUUUGUGACUGAUGAGCAUGGGAUUAGCCACAAUGGUUGGUCAUGAACUUUAAAUAUUCUUGAAGUAGAUCAUGUUAAAGUCAUGUGAAGGGAACGGCAAUUGAAUGGUGAAGGAAAUCUUGAUUUGUAUGUUUUAUACCAGCAACAACAUUACCAUAGAUUUUCUGUAUGCUUGUCCUGUUUGAACCAACAAUAUUAGCUUAAAAAAUGUGUGCUUGUUAGAGAGAGAUUUUUAAAGGGUAUCCUGACCCAUGACUUAUGCUGCAUCUGUUGAGGCAUGAGAAGCACACCUUUUACAAGCCUUGGCUUGAGGCAAAAGAGUUCAUUGUCUAGUUAGGCUCAAUUUCCAGUUACAUGAUGCAUAUUAGAAAAAAAUAAUCGGACGCACCCUAACUUUUUUUGAUAAGCUUACACAAGAUGACUGACCAUCUGAUCCAGGAUGGAUCUCUAUUCAACUGUUGUAUGCUGUGAUGAAAUGCGGAAGAAUUUGACAUUUGCUGUGAUAAAAUGAGGAAGAAUUUAACAAUUUGGGGGAAAGGGAGUGGGUUUGUGGUUGUGUUUUUGGGGUUGGGUUUGGUUUGGGUUGGUUGUUUUUUGGGAGCAUCGCUUGGUUUGGUUGGGUGGUGGUUGUUUGUCACUUGUUAGGCGAGGAGAAGGGGAGGAGGUGUGGUGUGGUGGUGUUGCUGUUUGGUUCAGGUUUGUUUGAGUAAUGUGUUCAGUGUAUGUUUUGAAUGGUUUAAAGCUCCAUCCCCAUGACAAUNNNNNNNNNNNNNNNNNNNNNNNNNNNNNNNNNNNNNNNNNNNNNNNNNNNNNNNNNNNNNNNNNNNNNNNNNNNNNNNNNNNNNNNNNNNNNNNNNNNNAAUUUGCCAAUUUAUUCAAAUACUGAUUCAGAAAAACACGACACAACUCAUCAUAUCAUUUGUGUUCGCAGGCACAUUUCUGGGCAUUAUUAUUAUUAUUAUUAUACUUAGCCUUGCACUAACUACGGAGCUGAUCAGUGAUCUUUCUCAUCUCUUUUCUCAGUUCCGCUACAAACCCACUUUGGAGAGUGUUAUAGUAGUCCAGGAACCUCGCAGUCACAGACCCGCAACAUAACCCCCGUCCCGCUAGUCCCCUUGGCCAGGUUGCACCCAGUGAGAUGGUGCAUACCCUGCCUUAAGUCUCACAAAAUCUACAAUGCCUGCAAUCAGUCCUCCAGGGAUCUGGAAAUUAAAUCCUGCAAUACCAAUUUAUGAUACAACAUGACACGCCCUCUCGGAAUUUAUAUGAUCUGAAAUGUCUGUGUUGGGUAUGCUAAUAGAAACUGUUUGCUUAGCCGGAAGAGUAUUUCUAGGGUCUUAAAAUGAACAGGGUACCGACAAAGGUGAUGCCAGUUCAAUAGACGAAAUUAAAACCCUUUUUUUACGUGGCAGGUAGAACCAAAUUUUCUAGGAAAAUUACAAUUUGAAGAUGAUGACAGUUGGAUUAAAGACUUUGCCUUCAUGGCACUUCGAAAUGCUGCAUAAUAUCACUGUAAAAGGCAUAUAGGUAUAUCACAAGUGGCAAAACAUACGUCAGCUGGGGUGCCUGCUCCACGUGUUAUUAUUAAUAUUCCUAAAAUAGCUGUAAAGUGUGCAAUUUUGGGAUAUUCAUUUUCUUGUAGAGCGAAGGACGUGCAUGGUAGUAGUAGCACGUGCUUGUAUGUAUUCAUUCAUGGCUUCUAGAUGAUGAAUUAAAUUAGAGAAUUAGGGUUCUGUUUUGAACGCAGCUUUUUGAGGCUUUUGGGGGCGACACCUACCACCAAGUCAUUUAAUCAGCCAAACAAACCCCAAGUUGGGCCUCUUUCUUUGAUUUUAGAUUACUAAAAAAUCAGCAUCUUAAUUACCCAGGCAACCCUUAGUUCAUAUCCAUAGUGUUAAUUAAUUUCCUUAUUGAGAUGAAGCUCAUCCAAAGAGUGACAAAAAACAAAGAGAUGGAUAAGGGAGGGAAUGAUGAAUGGAGAAUGGAGCCGCCCUUGUGUGUUUGCCCCUGCCUGCUUAGCUCUCUCAAGUCGAUCUGGAUAUAACCUGGAACGUUGCUGUCACUGAUUUAUGCAAACAAAUAAGUCUUGCUUUCAAGUCCAAGUCUUCACCCUCUGGUAGUCCAAGUCUUCCUCCCCUUUAAGUCUCAAGUCUUCGUGGGCAUUGAUAUCUAUCCUUAUCUUUUCAUUAUUUUUAUUACUUGCCACUCUAUUUCCUUAAUUUUUUUUUCUUAAUAAAAGUUAAUUUUUGACCAAAUAUUUCUAAUUAUUGUCCAGCAUAGGAAGUAAAGCAAAUAAAACAUCAGUUUAUUUAGUUAAUAAAUCUUACGAAAGAAAUGUAUUUGUAACGUAGAAUUUAUAUAAAAUGUAUUAAGUAAUUUUUGGAAAGUUAAAAUUUUAUUUUCUAAGAAAAUUUUGAUUCUAACUUUCUAGACUUUUGGGCUUAUAUAUUCCUUAUACCUAAAUAUGUUUUAAGGCCAGAUGCUUUCAUUCAAAAAAUAUCCUUAACCUACUCCUAUCAUUCCUAAAAGCACUCAAAGGUUGAACUUUGGAUUGUUGAAGAGAUUUGCAUCUCUUUGGAGGCUAAGGCAAAUCAACUCGAGUAUUUCCGUCGCAACGAUGACGUCAUCUGGAUUCCGGCCCCUUGACGACAAGUCUCUCGUAGAGUACAUAAAGGCCACGCCUGCUCUCUUCUCCAAGCUUGCAAACCAGCUCCAUGGAUUGCAGAUCAAAGAAGUGGGCGACGGCAAUCUCAACUUCGUCUACGUCGUCAUCUCUUCCGCCGGCUCCUUCGUCAUCAAACAGGUACAAAUUUGUAUUCAUUAGGGAACCUCACAACUUUGGAUUCUUACUGAACAAAAAAUGGCUUCACUGUGGAAGAAUUUGAAGUAUUUGUGAAGGUUUGGUCGAAGUGACUGUUUAUUACAAGGAGGGAAUGGAAUAAAUAGAUAGAGCAGAGUGCUCUGCCUUACAUUACCAAACGAGGCUGUACAGCUCAGCACUUAUUCUAACAAGCCAUAUCUAGAAUAUUCUAUACAAAUAUAGCUGUUAUAACAGAUUAAAUAAAUGCUAGUAUGCUAGAACUGUUGUAAGAUGUGGUUGUGUUGAGAGUGCAGGCGUUGCCGUACAUACGUAGUAUAGGGGAAUCGUGGCCGAUGACGAAGGACCGGGCGUAUUUUGAAGCGACGGCUUUGAGAGAGCAGCGUCGCUGGUGCUCCAAUCAUGUGCCGGAGGUUUAUCAUUUUGAUAGGGAAAUGGCUGUAAUCGGUAUGAGGUACUUGGAGCCUCCGCAUAUAAUUCUUAGAAAGGGCCUGAUUGCUGGAAUUGAGUACCCGUUGCUUGCAGAACACAUGUCGGAGUUCAUGGCGAGGACUCUUUUCUUCACAUCUCUUCUAUACCAUGACACAACAGAGCACAAACGUGCAGGUAAAUGCUUUUUGAUAUUAUUUAUUAUGUUUCAUGAACGUUCUAGUCUUUUGAUUUUUUUUUUUAUUUAUUAUUCUUUGAAUUGAAACAUAGGAGGCAAAAUGUAUAAAUUAUAGUAGCUGUAAUGCACAGACUGCGCGUGCUAUUGAUUUAUAGUAGUUAAAUAUUUCCGCCACGAGCCAAGAACUUUGUCUUCUCCUCAAAUAUGUUGUGCCAGGAGUAAUUACUGGUAGAAUUUAAGAGAAAAUUGCAGUUUGCUUCUGAUGAAGUUAUUCUAUUGACAAACUUGAAUCAUGUUCAAAUUGUGCUUUAUGCAGUUGCUGAAUUUUGUGGAAAUGUGGAGUUAUGUCGGCACACUGGGCAAGUUGUUUUCUCUGAUCCAUACAAAGUAUCUCAGUAUAAUUGGUGGACUUCCCCUUAUCUUGACCGUGAUGCCGAGGCAGUUCGAGAGGAUAACAUUUUGAAGCUUGAAGUUGCUGAGUUGAAAUCUAUGUACUGUUUCCAUAUCAGUGCCUCAUUUCUUGCAGUAAUAUAAAAUGUUUCUAUUAAUAGCAGUUUAAUUCUGAAAUAAACAGGUUGAAAUCCUUUCUAAGCCUAGUUAGAAUCUAUUUUGCAGGUUCUGUGAGAGAUCGCAAGCCCUAGUACAUGGAGAUCUUCAUACUGGUUCAGUUAUGGUUACCCCUGAUUCGACUCAAGUUAUAGAUCCAGAAUUUGGCUUUUAUGGACCAAUGGGGUUUGAUAUAGGCGCUUUUUUAGGAAACUUGAUUUUGGCAUACUUUGCACAAGAUGGGCAUGAUGAUCAAGUGAAUGAUAGAAAAGUAUGUCUGUGUUCUCAACUUUAUUUCUAUGGUUUUUCCAGUUUUCCCCAAAGUUCUAAAAUAUUUAGCUGUCCAUAGUCUAGUGUUAAUUUUCUUGUUUCCUUUUUCCUUUGAAUUUUGUCAUAAACCUUAAUGGCCUUUUCAAUUCAUCCAAUUGUGGCUUUCCUUUGCAUUUCCUCUUAUACCUUAUGGUUUCUUGUUAAAGACAUGCAACAUGAGGUCCUUCUUCCUUAUAUCUACGUGGCCUUGAAGUUGAAGUUUGGACCCAGAAAUUUUAACUCUUCUUGUAGACCCAGAAAAGGCUUGAAUGAAUGUGGUUUGGAGGAUGUAGUAAAUGAUUAUAUGAGCUCAAAUCCUAUAUUCAAUGGAUACAGUUUUGAGAAUGAUUUGACAUGGUUCCACUUAUCCUUUAGGAUAAACCUUUUUAACCUUAUGAAGAGGAGUUCUUUACAUAUAAUUUUUGUUUAACAAAACAGAGAAUUCAAUACAAUAGUUUUGAAAUAUUUUUUAUUUUGUUCUUUCUGGUGUGAUGUUUAUCUUCAAUUCCUUUAUUUAAUUUACAUUAUUAAUUAUGUUUUGUAUUUGACCGUAUGUUAACUUUUUGUUUGUCCGUUUUGCAUUGGUUUUCUGCCAUUUACCACUGUUACCUGCCCUUAGAACUGUAUUGUAUAAAUUCUAGGCACCAUGUAGAAUCCCUGACUUGAU
rnacentral:lncRNA from 1 species